UACGUAGGGGGCUAGCGUUGUCCGGAAUCAUUGGGCGUAAAGCGCGUGUAGGCGGCCCGGUAAGUCCGCUGUGAAAGUCGGGGGCUCAACCCUCGGAUGCCGGUGGAUACUGUCGGGCUUGAGUACGGAAGAGGCGAGUGGAAUUCCUGGUGUAGCGGUGAAAUGCGUAGAUAUCGGGGGGAACACCAGUGGCGAAGGCGGCUCUCUGGGGUGCACCUGACGCUGAUGCGCGAAAGCGUGGGGAGCGAACCGG
rnacentral:rRNA from 1 species